GCCUAUGACUAAAUAUCUAAAGACACCAGAUCCCAUCUGACCUGGGAAGCUAGUUAGGUUCAGCCUGGGUAGUACUUGGGUGUCUACCUGCCAAUGAAUAUCAGAUGCUGUAGGCU
rnacentral:rRNA from 1 species